GUCCAUGCCACCCAACCCACACCGGAUCUAUCAUCCCAAGCAUCGCAGUUUGAGACCCAGCUGGGUGGUACUCAGUUUGAAGAAAUUUAUGAAAGACAACAACAUAUUCGUAGAGUACUAGAGACUUGUCCUGAUGAAGCGGACGUUGAUACAGGACAUCAGAGAGGUGAAAUGGCAACAGAUGAAAUGGAACACAAUGACAGUGGACCAGUCUUUGAUCAGACCCCAAUGCCUCAUGUUGCAUCUCAGGAUGAUACACUAAAAGGGACAACACUUUCUGGAACUUCUCCACUCCUUACAGAGCUUGAUUGCGUUCGUGCUCUGUGGGAUUUACUCUGUUCCAAGGACAUUGACCAAAGCAGGUUGUCAUAGAUUACGGUGAAUACAGUGGAAACUGUCUCGAUAUUUAUGAAUCUUUCAUAGAGGGGAAGUGUCUUGAGAAUGUCUUCAUGCAGUGCUUCAUUGAGUGUGUUCGUGAUGAUUCCAAAAAUCAUCGUCGAACUAUGACUUCUAAUAGAUUAUUACUUGAUGUCAAUGUUGAGGCUCUGCUAAAUUUUGAAGAGCAGGAACAUCAUAGUAAGAAUCCUCAGCCGUUUGAUCAAAAUGUGUUACAGAAUUGCUUACAUAACACACUGCCUUCGUUGGUAAAUCUGGAUAAAUGCAAGUCGAUAUUGGUACCUAUGCUUAGUAGGGGACAUUGGACACUGUAUGUAAUCAACCUACAACAUCGGUGUAUACACAUUUUAGAUUCGAAUUCGUAUGGUAUAGAACUCGGUGGCACCACAUGGAAGGACUACCAUUAUGACCCAAUCUAUUUAGGUGGAAGGAAAUUCCCAUGGGCUAGGGUUAUAAUGAGUAGGUUGAGCAAAGUGUUACAACAUGUUUGCCCCAAUGCAUCCUUCCCCAAAUUUGGUAACUUUCCAAUGGAUAUGCCAUCAAAUUGCCCAACAAUGAGAAUAGGGUCAAACGACUGUGGCUUUUAUGUAAUGAGUUACAUGAAGUAUUAUGAUCACAAUUCAGGUGUCAUCACUUCUUACACUCAACCAGACAAUUCUCGAGACCUACGUGCUCAUGCCCUAUAUCAUCUCACAUUCCAUCGCAUGAACAAGGCGCUGCCACUACCAAUAGAGAUCCAAAGAUUUAUGUUUGCGCGCAAGUGAGAGCACCUAGAGGGGGGUGAAUAGGUGAUCCUGUAAAAACUUGAAACUUAAA